AAAAGCGCGAGCACCGGAAGUAGAGCGACUCGAGCGAGCCGUCGAAAAGCGUUCUAUCGAAAGCUCGACUCGCACACGAGAAUAUGCCGGUCAGCCAGCUGCGAAGGCAAGCUCCAAAUUAGAGCUUGUUAAGCGAAUUUAGCAUUUAAUAAAAGCACCAGGCACGGCGACUCCUUAGAGCGCGACGCAUCCGGCGCGGCGUAUCUCAUCCGGCCAGUCUCGUAUACAUAGCUUCUGCUAUCCAAUGAAGGUAUCUCUUGAGGAGUCUACGUGCCGCCCUACGAGGUUCAGCAAAACUUUAUAUCGGCCAUUUAAAAGAGCGAAUGUUGGGCGAAUGGCCCGGCCCGGGACGUAAUCUUCACUGUUAUACGUCGUAGCCGUUAAAGUGAGAUAUCAACCCGGUCGCUGUAUUGUAUUAAAGAGGAGAGAGAAGAGAAACCGUUCCUGUGCUUCUGUACGCGCUUUCACCCCCAACGAGAGGAAUAUAUAUCCGCAGCUAAACGCACUUUUCAUAUUUGAUUAUUUUAUCGUUGCGAUGUCAAGUCCAUGAUGUAUUACCUAAAGUUCCUGGUGUCUACCAUCUCUUCGGGCAAUCUACGCAGAGCUUCCAGUACAGCAGGAU